GCCCUCGUCGUUCAGUGGAUAGGACACGAGAUUCCGGAUCUCGGAACAGAGGUUCGACUCCUCUCGAGGGCA
rnacentral:tRNA from 1 species